CCUACGGGAGGCUGCAGUGAGGAAUAUUGGUCAAUGGGCGAGAGCCUGAACCAGCCAAGUCGCGUGAGGGAGUACUGCCCUAUGGGUUGUAAACCUCUUUUGUCGGGGAGCAAAAGCCGGACGUGUCCGGCUGUGAGAGUACCCGAAGAAAAAGCAUCGGCUAACUCCGUGCCAGCAGCCGCGGUAAUACGGAGGAUGCGCGCGUUAUCCGGAUUUAUUGGGUUUAAAGGGUGCGCGGGCGGAUUUUUAAGUCAGCGGUAAAAUCGUGGGGCUCAACCCCAUCCAGCCGUUGAAACUGGUGAUCUAGAGUGUGCGAGAGGUAUGCGGAAUGGGGGGUGUAGCGGUGAAAUGCAUAGAUAUCACGCAGAACCCCGAUUGCGAAGGCAGCAUACCGGUGCACAACUGACGCUCAGGCACGAAAGCGUGGGUAUCGAACAGGAUUAGAUACCCGGGUAGUC
rnacentral:rRNA from 1 species